ensembl:snRNA U6 U6 spliceosomal RNA
GUGCUUGCUUUGGCAGCAUGUAUACUAAGAUUGGAAUGCUACAGAGAGAAUUAGUGUGGUCCCUGUGGAAAGAUGACAAUUAACAAUUCGUGAAUUGUUAAAUAUUUGU